rnacentral:rRNA from 1 species
UGUAGGGGUGCCUUCGGGUGUAAACUCUUUCAGUAGGGAAGAAGCGUAAGUGACGGUACCUGCAGAAGAAGCGCCGGCUAACUACGUGCCAGCAGCCGCGGUAAUACGUAGGGCGCAAGCGUUAUCCGGAAUUAUUGGGCGUAAAGAGCUCGUAGGCGGUUUGUCGCGUCUGCCGUGAAAGUCCGGGGCUCAACUCCGGAUCUGCGGUGGGUACGGGCAGACUAGAGUGAUGUAGGGGAGACUGGAAUUCCUGGUGUAGCGGUGAAAUGCGCAGAUAUCAGGAGGAACACCGAUGGCGAAGGCAGGUCUCUGGGCAUUAACUGACGCUGAGGAGCGAAAGCAUGGGGAGCGAACAGGAUUAGAUACCCUGGUAGUCCAUGCCGUAAACGUUGGGCACUAGGUGUGGGGGACAUUCCACGUUUUCCGCGCCGUAGCUAACGCAUUAAGUGCCCCGCCUGGGGAGUACGGCCGCAAGGCUAAAACUCAAAGGAAUUGACGGGGGCCCGCACAAGCGGCGGAGCAUGCGGAUUAAUUCGAUGCAACGCGAAGAACCUUACCAAGGCUUGACAUGAACCGGACCGGGCUGGAAACAGUCUUUCCCCUUGUGGGCUGGUUUACAGGUGGUGCAUGGUUGUCGUCAGCUCGUGUCGUGAGAUGUUGGGUUAAGUCCCGCAACGAGCGCAACCCUCGUUCUAUGUUGCCAGCACGUGAUGGUGGGGACUCAUAGGAGACUGCCGGGGUCAACUCGGAGGAAGGUGGGGACGACGUCAAAUCAUCAUGCCCCUUAUGUCUUGGGCUUCACGCAUGCUACAAUGGCCGGUACAAAGGGUUGCGAUACUGUGAGGUGGAGCUAAUCCCAAAAAGCCGGUCUCAGUUCGGAUUGGGGUCUGCAACUCGACCCCAUGAAGUCGGAGUCGCUAGUAAUCGCAGAUCAGCAACGCUGCGGUGAAUACGUUCCCGGGCCUUGUACACACCGCCCGUCAAGUCACGAAAGUUGGUAACACCCGAAGUAC